UGACAAGAGGAAUCUGCUUAAAUAUCUUCUGGCUGAAAGUAAGCACAGCGUCUUCUUCUCUCUGCAAUCAACUGUCUUGACUGGGGACAAAAGAAAGAGAACUGCAAGCACAGCAGCGUGCAAAGAGCAACACACCUUUCCUCUGCCAACCUGCCUGAGACCCUCACCAGCAUCUCCUCCAGGUGAGAAACAAUUCUGAAAUGUAUUACUUCUGCUGUGGCUAUCACCACCUCCUCUUCACUGAAUUGUGAGAACUCAUCUUGGCCUGCCGCUUCUCCAGUCCAG
rnacentral:lncRNA from 1 species